rnacentral:rRNA from 1 species
UACAGAGGGUGCGAGCGUUGUCCGGAAUCACUGGGCGUAAAGGGCGCGUAGGUGGCCCGACAAGUCUGUGGUGAAAGCUCGACGCUCAACGUCGAGUCGGCCAUAGAUACUGUUGGGCUGGAGCACUGUAGAGGCUCAUGGAAUUCCUGGUGUAGCGGUGAAAUGCGCAGAUAUCAGGAGGAACACCUGUGGUGUAGACAGCUUACUGGACCAUUUCUGACGCUGAGACACGAAAGCGUGGGUAGCAAACAGG